CGGACGGGUGAGUAAUGUCUGGGAAACUGCCUGAUGGAGGGGGAUAACUACUGGAAACGGUAGCUAAUACCGCAUAACGUCGCAAGACCAAAGAGGGGGACCUUCGGGCCUCUUGCCAUCGGAUGUGCCCAGAUGGGAUUAGCUAGUAGGUGGGGUAACGGCUCACCUAGGCGACGAUCCCUAGCUGGUCUGAGAGGAUGCCAGCCACACUGGGACUGAGACACGGUCCAG
rnacentral:rRNA from 1 species